rnacentral:rRNA from 1 species
GACGAACGCUGGCGGCGUGCCUAAUACAUGCAAGUCGAACGCAGUGGGGACGGGUGAGUAACACGUGGGUAACCUCCCAUCAGAGGGGAUACCACUUGGAAACAGGUACUAAACCGAUACUGAUGGAUGGACCCGCGGUGCAUUAGCUCGUUGGUGAGGUAACGGCUCACCAAGGCCACGAUGCAUAGCCGACAUGGUAGGUUGAUCGGCCAAGCGGGGACUGAGAAACGGCCCAGACUCCGACGGGAGGAAGUAGUAGGGAAUCUUAGGCAAUGGACGAAAGUCUGACCGAGCAACGCCGCGUGAGUGAAGAAGGUUUGCGGAUCGUAAAACUCUGUUGUUAGAGAAGCGGUAUCUAACCAGAAAGCCACGGCUAACUACGUGCCAGCAGACGCGGUAAUAC